rnacentral:lncRNA from 1 species
UGAAAGGGGCCGAGGAGGUGGAGCAUACAGAGACAAUCUCCAAGUACCGAGACAAGGCUGAAGGGCAGAGGCCGAGGAACUUCGUAAGACCGGUGUCAAUGUGCUUCUCAUCAAGAUAGCCGAAAGUGAAGGACUUCGGGUCAUGCAAGAGUGCAUAACCAAGGAACGAAGUAGGCAGUACGCGGUGUUGUACCUUUGCUACUCAGCGGAGUAGGCGGCAAGGUUGAUGGAGAAGACGGUACAAUCCCAGAGGCGACCAAACCUAUGAGAGAAUUACUCCAAGUUAGGGUGAAAACUUCCUGCAUUCUAGAAGUUCGAUGGCAUUGAGAAGGUGAAUCACAGUAGCUAACUCAACGCAAGGAGUGCAAACACUUCAAGUGCUUCAGAAGUGUGAGCAAAGAGUAGGCGAAGGCCAGUAACCAGCUCGAUGCAUGAAGUACAACCUCGAGGAGGCGGGCGAAGUCAAGUAACCUUUGCCUUCUCAACUCUUAAGAGAAUGGGUGAAACCGAGUACCCCAAUUCUCUUAUCUAUCCAGCAGAGGAGCUCUGCACAAGUUCAAAAACCUUCGAAGAUAAUGAAAGACAAUAGUUGUCAAAUCAUCACCAAUGGUGAUCAGUCCUACUGAGAGUAGAUUGUCCGCUUCAUUUCCCAAUGAAAUGCCAAUCGAAAGCGGAAGUGAUGCGAACCUACUUGGAUGUGACAACUAAGUGAAAGAAGAGUCAAUGAGCAAAUUUUGUGGAGGAAGGACCCAAAACUUCAGAAGUUUACGAGACGAUG